GCUACAGUGCUGAAAUUCGGUUCUGAUGGGGAGCAGCCAUCAGAGGAAACGGGGAAAGUCCGGUGUAAAUCCGGCGCUGUACCGCAACUGUAAGGAGCCAAAACGCUCUAAGUCAGGAUGCCCGCCGAGUCGCCAAACUCCAC
rnacentral:ncRNA from 2 species